AGAAGUGUCUAAGACUGCUCAACUUUCUACCUUAUUUUUGUUUAAUGUUUUAAUAUUUGAUGACCAGAGGUCCACCUAUUCUGGGCCCCAUUUAUUUAGGCCACUUAUGCCAUCUGUACCAUUCAUGCCAUUCAGCCAGUGAGCCAUUCAGACAGUUAUACUUCGCGAGUAUUUGUAAAUAUCUGUAAUAAAAACUAUUUUAUACA